GAUGAAGAACGCAGCGAAAUGCGAUAAGUAAUGUGAAUUGCAGAAUUCAGUGAAUCAUCGAAUCUUUGAACGCACAUUGCGCCCGCCAGUAUUCUGGCGGGCAUGCCUGUUCAAGCGUCAUUUCAACCAUCAAGCCCCCGGCUUGUGUUGGGGACCUGCGGCUGCCGCAGGCCCUGAAAACCAGUGGCGGGCUCGCUGUCACACCGAGCGUAGUAGAUUUUCAUCUCGCUCAGGGCGUGCUGCGGGUUCCGGCCGUAAAAAGCCUUAUUUACCCAAGGUUGACCUCGGAUCAGGUAGGAAGACCCGCUGAACUUAAGCAUAUCAAUAAGCGGAGGA
rnacentral:misc_RNA from 1 species